rnacentral:lncRNA from 1 species
GGGCAACACCGACAACGGUAACACACCAUUAGACAUUUUCUGCAGGACGGGAAGCGUGGAGGAGAGGGAUACUGUGAAAGAGAAAGAGAGAGCUGUGGUACGUGACAAUGCACCCCAACUGCGUGACGGAGACUCGCCAUGGCGGGAGCGUGCCGGAUGUGUCCGCUGAAAUGGUUUUGGCUCAUCGUCAAGGUGACGGUUGCUGUGUUACCUGUCACUGUGGCUGUUUUGUCUGGUUCCCUGUCCAAUAAGAACAUCUGUGGAUCCGAGGGCCGGUGCCAAAUCAGAGUGAACCACUGUGCCAACGAGAGUGAAAAGCCAACAAUAAUCAAGAAGGAAGAAAUGUACCAGCAACAUGUAUGUGCAAGUUCAAGCUCAUUUUCAGUGGAAAAUACUACUUUGUGUCAAGACAAAGCAGAAAGAGACUGACAUUCUUAAAAGAAUCUGCCAUGGGCAAAUGAAAGAGCAAAAAAAAAACUGUCCACCAUCUGAGCAGAGGGCUGAAGAAAAUAGUUUUAUUUAAAACAAGUAUCAGAGCACAUGGGGAAUUUGGAUAACACAUCACAACCCAAACUGGUGCCAAGAAAAGCAGGACUUUUGGUGCAUUUAAAGUGCAAUUGUAACAUAUUGCAAACUAUUUUACUAGGUCAAAGGUCAGCAAGCAACCUGCGGCUGCAAAGCUCGUAUUUGGCUCUUUGACUGCUUCAUACUUGUGCCUCUGAGGCAGAAUGUCAAAUUAGCCACAGCUCAGAAACAAGCACUGUAUUAGUAAAUUAUGUUUUUAACCUAUUGCACUUUGAUUUUAAACCAGCUGAUCUUUGACCUCAGGAAAUCACUGACUACUUUUAGCCAUUGUGUUAUAGAUGUGAUUCUAAAAAAAAUGUUAGUCAGUUUCAAUAUUUGUACUUAUCAGUCAGUGACCAGGUAUGAGCCUCUUCCAUUAUUUCCAGUUAAAAGUACAUCAAUAACAAGUCGGUCAAGUCUGCACUCAGGACCAUGCCGAUGAUAUCAUCCCCAGUUCAUAACACUGAAUGAAACAGGAUGCUGUUUGGCCAGAGCCAAGUAUUAGCAAUAUUCUACUUUAUCAUAGCAUGUCUCAUUCUCAUCUCUCAGUCCCUGU